GCGGGGGUGGCGGGCGGGCUGACACAUGCAAGUCGAACGAUGAAGCCCAGCUUGCUGGGUGGAUUAGUGGCGAACGGGUGAGUAACACGUGAGUAACCUGCCCCCGACUCUGGGAUAAGCCCGGGAAACUGGGUCUAAUACCGGAUAUGACCUCGCACCGCAUGGUGCGGGGUGGAAAGAUUUAUCGGUGGGGGAUGGACUCGCGGCCUAUCAGCUUGUUGGUGAGGUAAUGGCUCACCAAGGCGACGACGGGUAGCCGGCCUGAGAGGGUGACCGGCCACACUGGGACUGAGACACGGCCCAGACUCCUACGGGAGGCAGCAGUGGGGAAUAUUGCACAAUGGGCGCAAGCCUGAUGCAGCGACGCCGCGUGAGGGAUGACGGCCUUCGGGUUGUAAACCUCUUUCAGUAGGGAAGAAGCGAAAGUGACGGUACCUGCAGAAGAAGCGCCGGCUAACUACGUGCCAGCAGCCGCGGUAAUACGUAGGGCGCAAGCGUUAUCCGGAUUUAUUGGGCGUAAAGAGCUCGUAGGCGGUUUGUCGCGUCUGCCGUGAAAGUCCGAGGCUCAACCUCGGAUCUGCGGUGGGUACGGGCAGACUAGAGUGAUGUAGGGGAGACUGGAAUUCCUGGUGUAGCGGUGAAAUGCGCAGAUAUCAGGAGGAACACCGAUGGCGAAGGCAGGUCUCUGGGCAUUUACUGACGCUGAGGAGCGAAAGCAUGGGGAGCGAACAGGAUUAGAUACCCUGGUAGUCCAUGCCGUAAACGUUGGGCACUAGGUGUGGGGGACAUUCCACGUUUUCCGCGCCGUAGCUAACGCAUUAAGUGCCCCGCCUGGGGAGUACGGCCGCAAGGCUAAAACUCAAAGGAAUUGACGGGGGCCCGCACAAGCGGCGGAGCAUGCGGAUUAAUUCGAUGCAACGCGAAGAACCUUACCAAGGCUUGACAUGUGCCAGACCGCUCCAGAGAUGGGGUUUCCCUUCGGGGCUGGUUCACAGUGGUG
rnacentral:rRNA from 1 species